UACGAAGGGGGCUAGCGUUGUUCGGAAUUACUGGGCGUAAAGCGCACGUAGGCGGAUAUUUAAGUCAGGGGCGAAAUCCCGGGGCUCAACCCCGGAACUGCCUUUGAUACUGGGUAUCUCGAGUCCGAGAGAGGUGAGUGGAAUUCCGAGUGUAGAGGUGAAAUUCGUAGAUAUUCGGAGGAACACCAGUGGCGAAGGCGGCUCACUGGCUCGGCAUUGACGCUGAGGUGCGAAAGCGUGGGGAGCAAACAGG
rnacentral:rRNA from 1 species